rnacentral:sRNA from 1 species
CGAAGUUUGAAUUCUGAUGGACGCUGUUUGAAUUCUGAUGGAGUGGGUUGUUUCUUUUUUGGUAUAUUUAUAUGCUUUAUUUUUUUUUGGAUGUCUAAGUUAAAACAGAAUAAAAGGGGCAGCAGUUAGUGUGGGUGAGGGAGAACUCGAGAAACAAGAAAGAAAACCAGAGGAACGAAACCCACUCGACCUCAUUCUUCCUCUUCUUCACUUCUUCUUUUAUUUAUUUUUCUCUCUUUUCUUCUCCAAUUUUGUUUUCUUCUUUUUCGGACCAAAAAAACCAUGAGUAAUGAAGAUUGGGAUGAUGGCGCGAGAAUGCCCGUUAAGAGUAAUAGGCGAAAGGCCAAAGCGGGAGUGUCGAAAAGAGGGAACCAAACCAGUGGGAUAAUUCCUUGCAGGUUUGGGGUGUUAUGGUAAUGCUGAAAAGGUUAGGCUCUAAGUAAAUUGGUAUUUCUGGGUUAUAACUGUUGAGUCUCUUUUGGUUGUAUAUACAUGUGCAGAAACGUGAGUUUGUUCUGUUUGUAUGGGCUGGAAUGAAUUUGAUUGUG